rnacentral:lncRNA from 1 species
GUGUGGAAGAGCCUUCAAGUAGAAGGACUCCACUUUUGCACCAACACAUCUCCAGGAGCCAUCACAUGGCGUGUGGAGUAAAGGAAAUGCAUGGAAUAAUAGAGAGGAAUUAAGAGUCCAAUGUGAAAUGGACUCUUCCAUUUCAUCGCCCAAAAUAAUGUGGCGUCCACAUAAAUUAUGGCAUGGAGUUCCUUCUCAGAGAAGGACUCCUCCUCUUCCAUACCCACAAAUCCCAAGGCACC